rnacentral:rRNA from 1 species
AGAAUCAACGCUGGUGGCGUGCCUAACACAUGCAAGUCGCACGAGAAAGGGUAGCAAUACCUGAGUAAAGUGGCGCACGGGUGAGUAACACGUGAAUUAUCUACCUCCGAGUGGGGAAUAACUGAGAGAAAUCUUAGCUAAUACCGCAUAACACUUACGAGUCAAAGCAGCAAUGCGCUUGGAGAGGAGUUCGCGGCCGAUUAGUUAGUUGGCGGGGUAAUGGCCCACCAAGACGAUGAUCGGUA